rnacentral:rRNA from 1 species
UACGGAGGGUGCAAGCGUUAUCCGGAUUCACUGGGUUUAAAGGGUGCGUAGGUGGGUCUGUAAGUCCGUGGUGAAAUCUCCAAGCUUAACUUGGAAACUGCCAUGGAUACUAUAGGUCUUGAAUACCGUGGAGGUGAGCGGAAUAUGUCAUGUAGCGGUGAAAUGCUUAGAUAUGACAUAGAACACCAAUUGCGAAGGCAGCUCGCUACACGAAUAUUGACUCUGAGGCACGAAAGCGUGGGGAUCAAACAGG